UGGGGAAUAUUGGACAAUGGGGGAAACCCUGAUCCAGCAAUGCUGCGUGAGUGAAGAAGGCCUUAGGGUUGUAAAGCUCUUUCGCCCGCGAAGAUAAUGACGGUAGCGGGAGAAGAAGCCCCGGCUAACUCCGUGCCAGCAGCCGCGGUAAUACGGAGGGGGCUAGCGUUGUUCGGAAUUACUGGGCGUAAAGCGUACGUAGGCGGAUGCGCAAGUUGGGGGUGAAAUCCCGGGGCUUAACCUCGGAAUUGCCCUCAAAACUGCACGUCUUGAGACCGAGAGAGGUAAGGGGAAUUCAUAGUGUAGAGGUGAAAUUCGUAGAUAUUAGGAAGAACACCAGUGGCGAAGGCGCCUUACUGGCUCGGUACUGACGCUGGGGUACGAAAGCGUGGGGAGCAAACA
rnacentral:rRNA from 1 species